rfam:Desulfobacterales bacterium C00003104 5133_contig_1100, whole genome shotgun sequence.
GCCGAAGUGGCGGAACUGGUAGACGCGCUAGGUUCAGGGUCUAGUGGGCAAAUGCCUGUGCGAGUUCGAGUCUCGCCUUCGGCA